rnacentral:rRNA from 1 species
GACGAACGCUGGCGGCGUGCUUAACACAUGCAAGUCGAACGGUGAAGCGCCUUCCUUUUUGGUGGGUGUGGAUGAGUGGCGAACGGGUGAGUAACACGUGAGUAACCUGCCCCCUUCUUCUGGAUAACCGCAUGAAAGUGUGGCUAAUACGGGAUAUUCUGGGUCUGUCGCAUGAUGGGUCUGGGAAAGAUAUUGUUUCGGUGGGGGAUGGGCUCGCGGCCUAUCAGCUUGUUGGUGGGGUGAUGGCCUACCAAGGCGGUGACGGGUAGCCGGCCUGAGAGGGUGGACGGUCCCAACGGGAAUGGGACACGGCCCAGACUUCUACGGGAGGCAGCAGUGGGGAAUAUUGGAAAAUGGGGGGAAGGCUGAUGCAGCGACGCCGCGGGAGGGAUGGAGGCCUUCGGGUUGUGAACCUCUUUCGCCAGUGAAGCAGGCCUGCCUCGUUUGUGGGUGGGUUGACGGUAGCUGGAGAAGAAGCGCCGGCUAACUACGUG